rnacentral:lncRNA from 1 species
UAUAGCUCAGUUGUAGAGCACUUGCCCAGUAUGCAUGAGGUUCUGUGUUCAAUGCCCAAGAUUACAAAAAAAAAAUCAAUGGAUCCAGUGAUGGAUAUUACAUUUUGCAUGUUGUUUUGAAUUCUGAGACAGAGUUUAAGUUGCUAAGGGCCUUAUUAAGUUACUAUGGCUUCAAACUUGCAAUCCUCCUGUCUCAACCUCCCAAGCCAAUGGGGCCAAUGGAAUUACAGGCAUGAGCCACUGCACCUAGCAAAUACUGCUACUUCAGCAUUUAAUAUUAGAAGGAUUCACUUUGGUCCUAAAACAUGAUUUUUUAAAAUAUUUACCAUGAAUUUUAAUGUUUUAUUCAAUAAUGCAUAAGUUCUACAAUACUAAGGAUUGAAUUAACAAGAUGUUCUUCAGGUGUAAGCUAGAUUUGCAAAUGGUAAAGAGAAGAAAAGGAAAGAGAUUAUCAAAAAAUAAGUUAUUGAGAUUGAGGCAGGAGAAUCCCAAAUUUAUGCCAAGCUGGGGUGGGUGGGGAUGGUGGUGUUGGGAGUGUAUAUCAGCAGGAGAGCACUUGUCUAGCAUAUGCAAGACCCUCUGUUCAAUCCCCAGUACUUAAAUACACACACACACACACCCCCCCCUGAGAUGAGUUUAACAGAAAUUUUGUUUCGUUUUCUGGACCAUAGGUGCUAGAAUCAUAUUAAUCAUAAUCCUUUGUUCAUGGUACAUCUUUGUCACUGUUUCAUGCAAGGCCUUCUCCAUUUCAGUAUUUGUUUAAUUAUACAAUGAGCCUGGGUAUUUUUAUACUUUCUAAUACAAAAAUAAGGCCAUAUUGGUUUUGUAUUCCCCAGAAUAUGACACCAGAAGGACUAAAUACCACCUUUUCUUUAGUGCUGGAAACUGAAACCAGAGCCUGAAUGUAUGCACUCCCACUGAGCGAGUUACACCCCUGGGCCCUACCACCUUUUUAAAAAUUUAAUGUUGUUUGCACAAUUCUCC